rnacentral:rRNA from 1 species
GACGUAGGGCGCGAGCGUUGUCCGGAUUUAUUGGGCGUAAAGAGCUCGUAGGCGGCUUGUCGCGUCGUCUGUGAAAUCCCACGGCUCAACUGUGGGCUUGCAGUCGAUACGGGCAGGCUGGAGUUCGGUAGGGGAGACUGGAAUUCCUGGUGUAGCGGUGAAAUGCGCAGAUAUCAGGAGGAACACCGGUGGCGAAGGCGGGUCUCUGGGCCGAUACUGACGCUGAGGAGCGAAAGCGUGGGGAGCGAACAGG